ACUACUGGAGCAUCACAGGAAA
rnacentral:snRNA from 1 species